rnacentral:pre_miRNA from 9 species
UCUCGAUAGCGUAAAAGUUAACUCAAAUUUGUAUGGCGUUGGAAGUUUCGCCUACGUUUGCCGCUAGAGGCGUUGUUUCAAUUACACACAAAUUUGAGUUAACUUUCACGAUAUCGA